GGUACAUUGUAUACAUAGAUGGACAUGUCAGAAUGAAUCCCCUUUUGGCACAACUAAUUGCUGCUAAUAAAAAUAUCCAAGGGGGGGAA